UUUUCGUAUUUCCCUCUUCGAAAAUAUACAACUUUACUCUUUUUUUUCGUAUUCCCCCCUCACAUUUCCCUCUUCGAACCUUGUCCUCACUGAACCCCCUUCUCACUGCAACGCAACCCCUCUCACUGAAACUUCCCCUCUUUCGUAUUCCCCUCUCUCAGCUAACCCUAAUCGUUCUCAUUCUCGUUCUAUUCUCCUUCUCUUAUCACCGCAACCCUUCUCUUCUCACUCUCACCGAAAACCCUUCACAUUCUCACCGCAAACCCUAUUCUCAUUCUCACUGAAACCCUUCUUCUCAAUCUCACCGCAAACCCUCUUCUCAUUCUCACUGAAACCUUUUUUCUCAAUCUCACCGCUAACGUUCUCACUCUCACUGUUUUCAGUAUCACCGCAAACCAUAUCACCCUUCUCACUCUUCUCACAAUGUUUGGCCGCCAUUAUCGUCGCAAUCGUUGGUUCGUUGUUGCAACAGGUACGUGGAACGAUAAUUUCUUUUGGCAAAGUUAUGUUUUUGUGUGUAUUUUCUUCUGAAUAUAAUUUUGAAGUUCCUAAUUUCGAAACCCUCACCAUCAAUUCUUUUGUUCUUCAUUUCCAAACCCUCUAUAUUUAAUCUCAUCAUCACGACCUUUGGCAAUAAGCACCUCGCUCUUAAGGUAAGAACCCAUUGGCAUUUUUUUUCUCUGAAGUUGUGUGGUUUGUAUGGUAAGGAUAUUCCACGAAGGAAAAGUUUCGAUGUUUUUGGUUUCAUAUUUCAUUUUUGCUUUUGCCAUCUCUUUAUUAUUUGUGGUGUUCUAAUGAGAAAUAUGGAUUUGAUAUUUUUAUUGUUGUUGUACGACUUGACUGAGAAGGAGAAGCAUCGACAAUGUCCGGGAAUAAAUCUGAUUGUUGAUGGUGAUUGUUGCGUCUAUAGACAUAGAUGUUUAAAUACGAUAGUGUUCAUGGACAUUGUAAGCAUCACGAUGUCANNN
rnacentral:lncRNA from 1 species